UAGGGAAUCUUCCACAAUGGACGCAAGUCUGAUGGAGCAACGCCGCGUGAGUGAAGAAGGUUUUCGGAUCGUAAAGCUCUGUUGUUGGUGAAGAAGGAUAGAGGCAGUAACUGGUCUUUAUUUGACGGUAAUCAACCAGAAAGUCACGGCUAACUACGUGCCAACAGCCGCGGUAAUACGUAGGUGGCAAGCGUUGUCCGGAUUUAUUGGGCGUAAAGCGAGCGCAGGCGGAAUGAUAAGUCUGAUGUGAAAGCCCACGGCUCAACCGUGGAACUGCAUCGGAAACUGUCAUUCUUGAGUGCAGAAGAGGAGAGUGGAACUCCAUGUGUAGCGGUGGAAUGCGUAGAUAUAUGGAAGAACACCAGUGGCGAAGGCGGCUCUCUGGUCUGCAACUGACGCUGAGGCUCGAAAGCAUGGGUAGCGAACAGGAUUAGAUACCCUGGUAGUCCAUGCCGUAAACGAUGAGCGCUAGGUGUUGGGGACUUUCCGGUCCUCAGUGCCGCAGCAAAU
rnacentral:rRNA from 1 species